rnacentral:rRNA from 1 species
UGGUGUGAAUUGCAGAAUCCCGUGAACCAUCGAGUCUUUGAACGCAAGUUGCGCCCGAAGCCAUCAGGCCAGGGCACGUCUGCCUGGGCGUCACGCAU